AAGUCGUAACAAGGUCUCCGUAGGUGAACCUGCGGAGGGAUCAUUACAGAGCAAGGGCCCCUGUGGGCCCGACCUCCAACCCUCUGAUUUGAAAAAAACCACGUUGCCUCGGGGCGGACCCUGCCCCGGCCGGCGUCCCCCCGGUGGACCACUAAAACCCUGCAUCGUUUGCGUCGGAGUAAUCAUUUAAAAUGAAACAAAACUUUCAACAACGGAUCUCUUGGUUCUG
rnacentral:misc_RNA from 1 species